rnacentral:misc_RNA from 1 species
GAUGAAGAACGCAGCGAAAUGCGAUAAGUAGUGUGAAUUGCAGAAUUCCGUGAAUCAUCGAAUCUUUGAACGCACAUUGCGCCUUCUGGUAUUCCGGAAGGCAUGCCUGUUCGAGAGUCAUUAACAACCGUUUCGAUCCCAUUCUUUCAGAAAUUACAAAGAGGAAAAGGGUUUGGUUAUGGUGGAGGAGGGAAAGGGAGCGUUUAGCCUGUAAAAAAAGAGGCUGUGUUCCGCCUCCCCCCCAAAAUUGUACAGGCGGUCGUGUGCGCCCACGCAUCGAGGUGUUGUAAAAGCUGCCACGGCACUUUUCACCUGUGCAGUGCGAGAUUGGCCAGCCGGUUUAAAAACCCCUCCAAACAAUCAAAGGUUGACCUCGGAUCAGGUAGGGAUACCCGCUGAACUUAAGCAUAUCAAUAAGCGGAGGA